GCCCUUGUAGCUCAACGGUCAGAGCAGCGGACUCAUAAUCCGUUGGUUGUAGGUUCGAAUCCUACCGAGGGCACCA
rnacentral:tRNA from 1 species